ensembl:snoRNA Gm22267 small nucleolar RNA SNORA17
UCUGCCCGAGAGGCAUUGCUAUGGCUAUGGCUGCUGUGUCACAAGUGCAUCAGUAGAUGGCAGAGUGGCUGAGUCUAUGCUCAGUGUUCUGAUCUAUGAACAUCUGAAAUAUUAGUAGCCUAAUAGU